rnacentral:rRNA from 1 species
AGUGAACGCUGGCGGUAGGCCUAACACAUGCAAGUCGAACGGCAGCACAGUAAGAGCUUGCUCUUACGGGUGGCGAGUGGCGGACGGGUGAGGAAUACAUCGGAAUCUACUUUUUCGUGGGGGAUAACGUAGGGAAACUUACGCUAAUACCGCAUACGACCUACGGGUUAAAGCAGGGGAUCUUCGGACCUUGCGCGAUUGAAUGAGCCGAUGUCGGAUUAGCUAGUUGGCGGGGUAAAGGCCCACCAAGGCGACGAUCCGUAGCUGGUCUGAGAGGAUGAUCAGCCACACUGGAACUGAGACACGGUCCAGACUCCUACGGGAGGCAGCAGUGGGGAAUAUCGGACAAUGGGCGCAAGCCUGAUCCAGCCAUACCGCGUGGGUGAAGAAGGCCUUCGGGUUGUAAAGCCCUUUUGUUGGGAAAGAAAAGCAGCAGGUUAAUACCCCGCUGUUCUGACGGUACCCAAAGAAUAAGCACCGGCUAACUUCGCG